rnacentral:rRNA from 1 species
UACGUAGGGUGCGAGCGUUGCCCGGAUUUAUUGGGCGUAAAGGGCGCGCAGGCGGCUACGCACGUCCGUUGUGAAAUCGCUCGGCUCAACUGGGCGGGGUCAGCGGAUACGGCGUAGCUGGAGCAAGCUAGGGGGCAAUGGAAUUCCCGGUGUAGUGGUGGAAUGCGUAGAUAUCAGGAGGAACACCUGCGGUGUAGACGGCUUACUGGACCAUAACUGACGCUGAGGCACGAAAGCGUGGGUAGCAAACAGG